GACGAACGCUGGCGGCGUGCUUAACACAUGCAAGUCGAACGGAAAGGCCCUGCUUGCAGGGUACUCGAGUGGCGAACGGGUGAGUAACACGUGGGUGAUCUGCCCUGCACUUCGGGAUAAGCCUGGGAAACUGGGUCUAAUACCGGAUAGGAGCCAUUUUUAGUGUGAUGGUUGGAAAGUUUUUUCGGUGUAGGAUGAGCUCGCGGCCUAUCAGCUUGUUGGUGGGGUAAUGGCCUACCAAGGCGGCGACGGGUAGCCGGCCUGAGAGGGUGGACGGCCACAUUGGGACUGAGAGACGGCCCAGACGCCUACGGGAGGCAGCAGUGGGGAAUAUUGCACAAGGGGCGCAAGCCUGAUGCAGCGACGCCGCGGGGGGGAUGACGGCCUUCGGGUUGUAAACUCCUUUCGCUAGGGACGAAGCUUUUUGUGACGGUACCUAGAGAAGAAGCACCGGCUAACUACGUG
rnacentral:rRNA from 1 species